UUAAAUCGGAGAUCGACAAAUUAAGUGGGUUUAUGAGUUACAAGUUGAUGUUGUUGAACAACUAAACAAAACUGGUUUUUUUCUCCUACACAUGGCAACUCUGCGGGGCAUUUGAUUAUCUCUUGAAGGGGAAGCCUAAAAUAGAAUUUGAAUGUCCUGGAUCAUUUUGUAUGCUAAUUUUAACAAAUUUGUUUGUUGUAAAGGAAGCUCCAGACAGAGAAGGCACCGACGGCACUAGGACCUAAUUCUCUGGCCAUCAAAGCAAACACUGUCCAGUUAACUGGUCAUAGCAUUUUUUUACAAUAACAGAUAGGUUCAUCACUAUUAUAUAGAAUAUUGUUGGGUCGUAUCAGAUCUCUUGAGCAAUAAAAUAAUCACUUUCUUCUCCUUAUUCAUUCAUGGUCUUAGUUUUUUUUCAUUUGCUAACAGUAGUUUGCUGAGAGUCGAGAUUAUAGGAGCCAUGGAUAAGACAGAGAGCUGCUGGUGGUAGAUCUAAUGGUGAUGGAUCCAAGAAGACGGAGAACAUGUGAUCGACCUAAGGCAGUUUCAGCUCCAGAGGCAAAUACUGAACUUCAAGUAAAUAUUGAUAAAGAAAGGUCCAUUACUCAUGCAAAUGCUAAGAGCAAGAGUGAAAAGUUCCCUCCCCUCGUGCGGUUGGUGUCUCCUGGAUGCUUCAGUACCCUUUUCCUCUGUACUCUUUUAAUGCUCCUGGUGGUAUAUAUGGAAUCAAACAUUUUCGAAGGUGAAUAACGAGUAAGUUCUACAGUUCCAUUGAUACGAUAGUGACAUAAAAGCUCAAAUGUUUGUAAUAUUUUUCUUUUGUGCUAAACAUUUUUGAAUCAUGCAUUCUGCGGUGGGUUCAAUGUGACAAAUGUGAAUGCUAGCAACACCAAAUUUGUGCUCUAUUUGAUGGAAGAAGGAAUGAUGAAGGACAAGCCGAAUAUACUUGUCCCAAUUGCUACGUUGAGGAGGUCAAAUGUGGGCUGCGCAAACCUUUAUCAUAGUGUGUUGUUCUUGGGGGCAAAAGAUUUGCCAAGAACUGUUCUUAGUGAUCAUAUAGAAGAUCGGCUAUUUAAACGACUUAAGCAGUGCUGGCAAAAGUAUUGAUGAGGUUAGUGAUACCAUGCAGCUGCUGCAGGAGAAACAAGAUCAUGCUUCAAAUGUCUAUCUAUCUGUUCGCUUGUUAAUUCGAGAUGUAUUUGAGACUGAGUGUAUACUAUUUUGCGAGGGAUGCACACUAUGAACAAUGCUAACAUCUUGGAAUUCGAUAUCACCACCAUGCUUUGUUUUUCA